UUUUAUAAGAAAUUAAAAAGUUCGGUAUAAGCAAUAAUAAAAAUAUUAUAGGAAAAAGUUGCGUUACAGGAAUAAUCAGGUAUUUUAUAAGAACAGAGCAGCAGCAAUUAAAAAACUUUGAAAUAAGCAAUAAUUAAAAUAUUAUAGGAAAAAGUUGCGUUUCAGAAAUUAGGUUGCGUUACAGGAAAAAUCAAGUAUUUUAUAACAACAGAGCAGCAGCAAUUAAAAAACUUUGAAAUAAGCAAUAAUGAAAAUAUUAUAGGAAAAAGUUGCGUUACAAGAAUAAUGAAGUAUUUUAUAAGAACAGAGCAGUAGCAAUUAAAAAACAUUGAAAUAAGCGAUAAUGAAAAUAUUAUAGGAAAGUUGCGUUACAAAAAUUAGGUUGCGUUACAGGAAAAAUCAAGUAUUUUAUAACAACAGAGCAGCAGCAAUUAAAACACUAUGAAAAAAGCAAUAAUGAAAAUAUUAUAGGAAAAAGUUGCGUUACAGAAAGUAGGUUUUAUUGGAACUGGAAUAAUCAAGUAUUUUAUAGGGAAUUUAAAAACUUCGGAAUAAGCAAUAAUAAAAAUAUUAUAGGAGAAAGUUGCGUUACAGAAAUUAGAUAGCGUUACAGGAAUAAUCAGGUAUUUUAUAAGAACAGAGUAGCAAUUAAAAAACGUUGAAAUAAGCAAAAAUGAAAAUAUAGGAAAAAGGUGCGUCACAGAAAUUAGAUUGCGUUACAAGAAUAAUCAAGUAUUUUUUAAGAACAGAGCAGUAGCAAUUAAAAAACUUUGAAGUAAGCAAUAAUGUAGAAAUUAUAGGAAAAAAGUUGCGUUACAGAAAGUAGGUUUUAUUGGAACUGGAGUAAUCAAGUAUUUUAUAAGAAAUUAAAAAGUUCGGAAUAAGCAAUAAUAAAAAUAUUAUAGGAAAAAGUUGCGUUACAAGAAUAAUGAAGUAUUUUAUAAGAACAGAGCAGUAGCAAUUAAAAAACUUUGAAAUAAGCAAUAAUGAAAAUAUUAUAGGAAAAAGUUGCGUCACAGAAAUUAGGUUGCGUUACAGAAAUUAAUCAAGUAUUUUAUGAGAACAAAACAGUAGCAAAUAAAAAGCUUCUACAUAAGCAAUAAUGAAAAUGUAAUAGGAAAAAGUUGCGUUACAGAAAUUAGAUAGCGUUACAGGAAUAAUCAGGUAUUUUAUAAGAACAGAGGAGUAGCAAUUAAAAAUCUUUGAAAUAAGCAAUAAUGAAAAUAUAGGAAAAAUUUGCGUUACAGAAAUUAGAUAGCGUUACAGGAAUAAUCAGGUAUUUUAUAAGAACAGAGGAGUAGCAAUUAAAAAACUUUGAAAUAAGCAAUAAUGAAAAUAUAGGAAAAAGUUGCGUUACAAGAAUAAUAAAGUAUUUUUUAAGAACAGAGCAGUAGCAAUUAAAAAACUUUGAAAUAAGCAAUAAUGUAGAAAUUAUAGGAAAAAAGUUGCGUUACAGAAAGUAGGUUUUAUUGGAACUGGAGUAAUCAAGUAUUUUAUAAGAAAUUAAAAAGUUCGGAAUAAUCAAUAAUAAAAAUAUUAUAGGAAAAAGUUGCGUUACAAGAAUAAUGAAGUAUUUUAUAAGAACAGAGCAGCAGCAAAUAAAAAACUUUGAAAUAAGCAAUAAUUAAAAUAUUAUAGGAAAAAGUUGCGUUUCAGAAAUUAGGUUGCGUUACAGAAAUUAAUCAAGUAUUUUAUGAGAACAAAACAGUAGCAAAUAAAAAGCUUCUACAUAAGCAAUAAUGAAAAUGUAAUAGGAAAAAGUUGCGUUACAGAAAGUAGGUUUUAUUGGAACUGGAAUAAUCAAGUAUUUUAUAGGGAAUUAAAAAAGUUCGGAAUAAGCAAUAAUAAAAAUAUUAUAGGAAAAAAUUGCGUUACAAGAAUAAUGAAGUAUUUUAUAAGAACAGAGCAGUAGCAAUUAAAAAACUUUGAAAUAAGCGAUAAUGAAAAUAUUAUAGGAAAGUUGCGUUACAAAAAUUAGGUUGCGUUACAGGAAAAAUCAAGUAUUUUAUAACAACAGAGCAGCAGCAAUUAAAACACUGAAAAAAGCAAUAAUGAAAAUAUUAUAGGUAAAAGUUGCGUCACAGAAAUUAGGUUGCGUUACAGAAAUUAAUCAAGUAUUUUAAGAGAACAAAACAGUAGCAAAUAAAAAGCUUCUACAUAAGCAAUAAUGAAAAUGUAAUAGGAAAAAGUUGCGUUACAGAAAGUAGGUUUUAUUGGAACUGGAGUAAUCAAGUAUUUUAUAAGAAAUUAAAAAGUUCGGAAUAAGCAAUAAUAAAAAUAUUAUAGGAAAAAGUUGCGUUACAGAAAUAAUCAGGUAUUUUAUAAGAACAGAGCAGCAGCAAAUAAAAAACUUUGAAAUAAGCAAUAAUUAAAAUAUUAUAGGAAAAAGUUGCGUUUCAGAAAUUAGGUUGCGUUACAGGAAAAAUCAAGUAUUUUAUAACAACAGAGCAGCAGCAAUUAAAAAACUUUGAAAUAAGCAAUAAUGAAAAUAUUAUAGGAAAAAGUUGCGUUACAAGAAUAAUGAAGUAUUUUAUAAGAACAGAGCAGUAGCAAUUAAAAAACUUUGAAAUAAGCAAUAAUGAAAAUAUUAUAGGAAAAAGUUGCGUCACAGAAAUUAGAUAGCGUUACAGGAAUAAUCAGGUAUUUUAUAAGAACAGAGGAGUAGCAAUUAAAAAUCUUUGAAAUAAGCAAUAAUGAAAAUAUAGGAAAAAGUUGCGUCACAGAAAUUAGAUUGCGUUACAAGAAUAAUCAAGUAUUUUAUAAGAACAGAGCAGUAGCAAUUAAAAAACUUUGAAAUAAGCAAUAAUGAAAAUGUAAUAGGAAAAAGUUGCGUUACAGAAAGGAGGUUUUAUUGGAACUGGAAUAAUCAAGUAUUUUAUAGGGAAUUAAAAAAGUUCGGAAUAAGCAAUAAUGAAAAUAUAGGAAAAAGUUGCGUCACAGAAAUUAGAUUGCGUUACAAGAAUAAUCAUGUAUUUUAUAAGAACAGAGGAGUAGCAAUUAAAAAUCUUUGAAAUAAGCAAUAAUGAAAAUAUAGGAAAAAGUUGCGUUACAGGAAUAAUCAUGUAUUUUAUAAGAACAGAGGAGUAGCAAUUAAAAUACUUUGAAAUAAGCAAUAAUGAAAAUAUAGGAAAAAGUUGCGUUAUAGGAAUAAUCAAGUAUUUUAUAAGAAAUGAGCAGAAGCAAUUAAAAAACUUUGAAAUAAAAAAUUAUAGGACAAAGUUGCGUUACAGGAAUAAUCUAGUAUUUUAUAAGAACAGUGGAGUAGCAAUUAAAAAACUUUGAAAUAA